GAUGAACGCUAGCGGCAGGCCUAAUACAUGCAAGUCGAACGGUGUCUUCGGACAUAGUGGCGCACGGGUGCGUAACACGUAUGCAACCUACCUUACAUUGGGGGAUAGCCUUUCGAAAGGGAGAUUAAUACCGCAUAAGACAGUAGCUGGGCAUCCAGCAGCUGUUAAAGAUUUAUCGAUGUAAGCUGGGCAUGCGUCCAAUUAGCUAGUUGGUGAGGUAACGGCUCACCAAGGCAAUGAUUGGUAGGGGAACUGAGAGGUCAAUCCCCCACACUGGCACUGAGAUACGGGCCAGACUCCUACGGGGGGCAGCAGUAGGGAAUAUUGGGCAAUGGACGCAAGUCUGACCCAGCCAUGCCGCGUGCAGGAUGAAGGCGUUAUGCGUUGUAAACUGCUUUUAUGCAGGAAGAAACGACUCUUGCGAGAGGCAUUGACGGUACUGUAUGAAUAAGCACCGGCUAACUCCGUGCCAGCCGCCGCAGUAAGAC
rnacentral:rRNA from 1 species